CAGCCGUGGACGAAUGUCGUGGCCGCGCCUGCUCAGUGUCAGCCUCCCAUCCAUGUUGUGUUCCAAGUAGCCGAAGAACUCGUACAGUUCAUUUUUAUUACAGGAGGUGAUUUGAAUUAAAACAAAAAUUCUGUGUUGUCUGCGGUCUGCCUAAAUCAAAUUUCCAUCUCUACAUUAAUGAAUAGAGUAUGAGCCAUCCAUGGGACAAAACAACGUGGCAAAUAGUCUCAAAUGGCACAGAUGGGGUCGAAAGAGCACAUGGACAUUCGGGCUCCAUCU